rnacentral:rRNA from 1 species
AGAGUUUGAUCCUGGCUCAGAUUGAACGCUGGCGGCAGGCCUAACACAUGCAAGUCGAGCGGCAGCACAGGGGAACUUGUUCCCUGGGUGGCGAGCGGCGAACGGGUGAGUAAUGGCUGGGAACCUGCCCUGAUGUGGGGGAUAACAGUUGGAAACGACUGCUAAUACCGCAUGAUGUCUACGGACCAAAGAGGAGGACCUUCGGGCUUCUCGCGUCAGGAUGGGCCCAGUUGGGAUUAGCUAGUUGGUAGGGUAAUGGCCUACCAAGGCGACGAUCCCUAGCUGGUUUGAGAGGAUGAUCAGCCACACUGGAACUGAGACACGGUCCAGACUCCUACGGGAGGCAGCAGUGGGGAAUAUUGCACAAUGGGCGCAAGCCUGAUGCAGCCAUGCCGCGUGUGUGAAGAAGGCCUUCGGGUUGUAAAGCACUUUCAGCAGUGAGGAAGGUGGUGUAGUUAAUACCUGCAUCAUUUGACGUUAGCUGCAGAAGAAGCACCGGCUAACUCCGUGCCAGCAGCCGCGGUAAUACGGAGGGUGCGAGCGUUAAUCGGAAUUACUGGGCGUAAAGCGCAUGCAGGCGGUCUGUUAAGCAAGAUGUGAAAGCCCCGGGCUUAACCUGGGAACCGCAUUUUGAACUGGCAGGCUAGAG